GAUAAACGCUAGCGGCAGGCUUAACACAUGCAAGUCGAGGGGCAGCAUAGAUUGUAGCAAUACAAUUGGUGGCGACCGGCGCACGGGUGCGUAACGCGUAUGCAACCUACCCGUCACAGGGGGAUAAUCCGGAGAAAUCUGGUAUAAUACCCCAUAACAUAUGGAUCGGCAUCGGUUCAUGUUGAAAUUUUCGGAGGUGACGGAUGGGCAUGCGUAGCAUUAGCUUGUUGGUGAGGUAAUGGCUCACCAAGGCGACGAUGCUUAGGGGGACUGAGAGGUUUUCCCCCCACACUGGUACUGAGACACGGACCAGACUCCUACGGGAGGCAGCAGUGAGGAAUAUUAGUCAAUGGGCGCAAGCCUGAACCAGCCAUGCCGCGUGCAGGAUGACGGCUCUAUGAGUUGUAAACUGCUUUUGUACGAGGGUAAAGUGGGUUACGUGUAACCUUUUGAAAGUAUCGUACGAAUAAGGAUCGGCUAACUCCGUGCCAGCCGCCGCCGUAA
rnacentral:rRNA from 1 species